UAACAAUGACCACGCCAUCACAUGUAUGAAAUAAGAAACGUUUAUUGCACAUAAUGAACAAAUGUGAACCAAUGUGGUAUACUGAGGGAUGAGGGGUGAUUCGAGGGAUGAAGGUAGGUUCGAGGGAUGAGGGAUGAAGGUAGGUUCGAGGGAUGAAGGUAGGUUCGAGGGAUGAGGGAUGAAGGUAGGUUCGAGGGAUGAAGGUAGGUUCGAGGGAUGAAGGUAGAGGGAUGAGGGAUGAAGGUAGGUUCGAGGGAUGAAGGUAGGGGGAUGAGGGAUGGAGGUAGGUUUGAGGGAUGAGGGAUGGAUGAGGUCAGAGGAAUGAGGGAUGGAUGAGGUCAGAGGAAUGAGGGAUGGAUGAGGUCAGAGGAAUGAGGGAUGGAUGAGGUCGGAGGAAUGAGGGAUGGAUGAGGUCGGAGGAAUGAGGGAUGGAUGAGGUCGGAGGAAUGAGGGAUGGAUGAGGUCGGAGGAAUGAGGGAUGGAUGAGGUCGGAGGAAUGAGGGAUGGAUGAGGUCGGAGGAAUGAGGGAUGGAUGAGGUCGGAGGAAUGAAGG